rnacentral:rRNA from 1 species
AUUGAACGCUGGCGGCAUGCCUUACACAUGCAAGUCGAACGGCAGCACGGGUGCUUGCACCUGGUGGCGAGUGGCGGACGGGUGAGUAAUGCAUCGGAACGUGUCCUAAAGUGGGGGAUAACGCAUCGAAAGAUGUGCUAAUACCGCAUAUUCUCUGAGGAGGAAAGUAGGGGAUCGAAAGACCUUAUGCUUUUGGAGCGGCCGAUGUCUGAUUAGCUAGUUGGUAGGGUAAUGGCUUACCAAGGCGACGAUCAGUAGUUGGUCUGAGAGGACGACCAGCCACACUGGGACUGAGACACGGCCCAGACUCCUACGGGAGGCAGCAGUGGGGAAUUUUGGACAAUGGGCGCAAGCCUGAUCCAGCAAUGCCGCGUGAGUGAAGAAGGCCU